UGAGGAAUAUUGGACAAUGGAGGAAACUCUGAUCCAGCCAUGCCGCGUGAGUGAAGAAGGCCUUAGGGUUGUAAAGCUCUUUCAAUAGUGAAGAUAAUGACGGUAACUAUAGAAGAAGCCCCGGCUAAAUUCGUGCCAGCAGCCGCGGUAAUACGAAUGGGGCAAGCGUUGUUCGGAAUCACUGGGCUUAAAGCGUGCGUAGGCGGAAAUGAAAGUCAGAAGUGAAAGCCCCGGGCUCAACCCGGGAACUGCUUUUGAAACUCCAUUUCUAGAAUCCGGUAGAGGUCAGGAGAAUUCCUAGUGUAGAGGUGAAAUUCGCAGAUAUUAGGAGGAAUACCAGUGGCGUAGGCGCCUGACUGGGCCGGUAUUGACGCUGAGGUACGAAAGCGUGGGGAGCAAACAGG
rnacentral:rRNA from 1 species